rnacentral:lncRNA from 1 species
CCCUAGUAGUCGGUGGCUGGUCGGUGACUGGGACCAGACCGUCGCCUCCUCCCUUUUACAGCUUUAAGUCUGUGACCCGAGGCCUCUCUGUAUAUUCCCGUGGGGUUGGGCCUAGUUGUCCUGGGAGAAACUAGAUGGAUGAGGAGUAUUUCCGAGACAGGUCCCAGGGCCAGCGCAGCCUUUUCUGUUGCAGAACCGCGACUGUUGUUUUGGGAUCCAGGCCGGAGGGUUUGUUGCUUGUGUUCAUUCCAGUUAACCAUUAGUACUCGAGAAGGUGGUACAGAACGCAUCUAUCCCCUUAGAAGAAAAGAAAUUAAAAGCCAAACUAAACUGGGAUAUAUAUUAAUAUAGGAAACUACCACUGAGACAUAGGAAAGUGUAUUAAAAUAUAACUAGUGAGGUGCUAUGUAUAAUUCAGAGGAAGGGGAAAUUAUGCAUGGGCCAGACUACUAACAAAAGGCUCCAAAGCCUGGGAUACGCUGAGGGCCUUUCCAUAACAGAAAAUGAAAAGGAACCUAAAUUUGAGACUAGAUUUGAGGAAAGGCACAGUUGCGCUGGAGUAGAAAGCGUCUGUCUACCGCAGUGGAAAGAGCUGUGAUUGGUUGAUUGAUUUUGAGGCGGAGUUUCACUCUUGUUGCCCAGGCUGAAGUGCAGUGGCACAACCUCUGCUCACUGCAACCGCUGCCUUCCAGUUUCAAGCGAUUCUCCUGCCUCAGCCUCCCAAGUAGCUGGGAUUACAGGCGCCUGCCACAACGUCUGGAGACGGAGUUUCUCCAUUUUGGCCAGUUUGGUGUCGA